ensembl:lncRNA
AUGCUGUUCAGAUUUACCCAUGCUAAGCCACGGGCAUGUUUAUUAAAUACAAGCGUGGGGAAAAACCAGUGUAUUCCCAGAAGAUUCACGUCACUGUUGACUACUCAGUCUAUGAAUGAAGUGAUGAAUAACAGUGGUGGAAGAAGUUAGGGAGAGAGGGUGGGUCAUGAAAACUAUUGACAAGCCAGCAUCUUGGAAGGUAGAAGGUUCUUUCUUUCACAGACCAUUUCCCUCUUGUCCCAGGGGAAAAUCUUUUGCAUGAUUUCUCAGAGGAAGAUACAUAGGUUCAAGACGGAGGCCUCCAUGUUUCUGUUUCAAACAGGAUUAUUUUGAAGGGUUAUUAUCUUAUCUCCUUCACAUAGGUACACAGGAUUGAGGACUUCAACAGGAUCUGAAGAAGACAUUAGUGAUUAAAGUUUGUGCACAUACUGAAGUGAACUGUCUGAUUGAUGUUUUGUAUAGUUUAUAAACUGGAUUUCCAGCAACCACCCUUCUAUGUGAGACUUUUUCCAUAACUUGUAACUAGGAGGAACUUAAGAUGGGUGACUUUGUGUAUUCUUGGCUAAAAUUAGUGUAGAGUUAAUCUAUAGAGCCCUGCUGCAGGAUCCCAACAGGUGUCUCUUGGGAGUGGGGGGAAAGUAGGCCCUACACCAACACAGGCAUCAGGAACAAGUUAAAAUAACAAGCUCAGUUUAUUCCAGAAAGGAGUAAGCCUUAUAUACUCUUCAACUCUGCCCCAGGGGAGGAGAUCCACUGAGUUGGUAUCUGCUGAAGUGAUGUGGUCAGUGUCCAUAAGUCCCUGUCAUCUCUCGUCUGCUAUUGUCAAGGUCCUAUGUCAGACCCAGGCUGGCUAUCAGUAUAGGCUGGCUGCCAGGCUCAUUGAGGUUGAGUUAUCCCACAUUUCUACCUUAUUUAUUUAUUUAUUUAUUUAUUUAUUUAUUUAUUUGUUGGACACAGUGGGUGCUAGGGUGCUUUGUCUUGACCUUGUUGCUCCACCUCAGGAGGGCUCGGCAUAACGGACUAUGCCUGUCUUAGGUCAGUCUGUCAAACAGAUUCUUACCCAUCCUGGACUACCAGCCUUAGAAGAGCAUCCAUCCUGGCAAGCUGUCAGGGUGGUGGGUCAGGCAGUAGCCUUUAGUAUCUCAGUAAGCCAUGCAUGCAUCGUCUCUCUAGGAGGAUUUUGUCCUGAGUAUCCUAGAGCCAUUAGUACCUAUAGGGUCACCAUGGUGACCCUAUAGGGUCAACCUUUUGUUAACAAAUAUGCUGCAGAAGACAUUUAAACAAAAGAAGAAUUAGCAGUGCCUCCCCCCGCAGCAAAACAUAUAUAAGGAUCCAGGAGAGAUCACAGAGUCUUUUUAAAUUGCUCCACACACUUGUCAAAAAAUUGGUCUCCAAGGGCAUGGAUGGGACCCUAGUCAUGUUUAAUUGAUGAACUUCAUCUGGAAGCAAUAUGGUGUAAUUGAAGAAUUUGUCUGACCAAGUUCCUUGUAUGUAUUGUGUCAAUCAGAAUCUUUCUGAGGAAGUAUUGAAAGCCUUGUAGGGGUGAGACAAAUUGGUUGGUAUCGGGGGUCACACGCUAACAAUGACAUGUCCUUUAUCAAAGUCAAUUCCUUAGCCAAAUGUCAAUUUGUUGUUGUAAUACAUGUAUGGCCUGAUAAAGAUGUAAAUGAAUUGCUCAUUGCAUAAAAUCUGGUUGAAGUAGGGCAAAUUGGGACCAGAAUCAUUGGCUGCUUUUUGAAUGAAGGAGAGAUCAGCCAAAGAAGUGGCUAUCCAUGGCUGAAUGGCUGCAUCCGGGCCCAUGUUUACAGGAAUGGACAUGGUUAAACAAUGCGGUAUCACAGCUGAGAUCGGUGGAGAGAUUGGCAAAGUGUUUGCUGCAAUGGGCAAACAUCCUGAUGCCAGGACAAAGGAAGCCAGCAGCACUUGAAUUCUGGCUUUAAGCAUUGCUCUUUGUUGUGAAAAACCUUAUGUGUGGCAACUCUUAGUUAAAAGAAGUUCAUUCAUCAGUUCCUCAUCAUCUCUUCCAUUUAUCUGGGGUACUUCUCCUUCACAGUCAUCUUUAUCACAUUUCAAUCAUCUAGUCUUCCUGACUCUACAACUGUGUGAUACUGGUAAGCUUGGUAAGUUUUCUCUCUACAUUCCCGAGUCUCAAUAGGCAUUUUUCAAGACCUCUCCUGUUCAUUAAGAUUUUGUUUGGGGAGCCUCAGUCUCAAUCCUACCUGAAUGAAAUGAGGGUAACCAUUUAGUAGAGCCUUCCCAUCUGCUUUAUUUGGGCCUCAUUUUGUGUCACCAUCUCUCUCCUCUCCAGAUUUCUCUGAGGAAACAGAG